rnacentral:rRNA from 1 species
GGCCUAACACAUGCAAGUCGAGCGGAAACGAGUUAUCUGAACCUUCGGGGAACGAUAACGGCGUCGAGCGGCGGACGGGUGAGUAAUGCCUAGGAAAUUGCCCUGAUGUGGGGGAUAACCAUUGGAAACGAUGGCUAAUACCGCAUAAUGCCUACGGGCCAAAGAGGGGGACCUUCGGGCCUCUCGCGUCAGGAUAUGCCUAGGUGGGAUUAGCUAGUUGGUGAGGUAAGGGCUCACCAAGGCGACGAUCCCUAGCUGGUCUGAGAGGAUGAUCAGCCACACUGGAACUGAGACACGGUCCAGACUCCUACGGGAGGCAGCAGUGGGGAAUAUUGCACAAUGGGCGCAAGCCUGAUGCAGCCAUGCCGCGUGUGUGAAGAAGGCCUUCGGGUUGUAAAGCACUUUCAGUCGUGAGGAAGGUAGUGUAGUUAAUAGCUGCAUUAUUUGACGUUAGCGACAGAAGAAGCACCGGCUAACUCCGUGCCAGCAGCCGCGGUAAUACGGAGGGUGC